rnacentral:piRNA from 1 species
UUCUCUCUCAAACGUGCGGCCUCUCAUUCC